rnacentral:rRNA from 1 species
CCUACGGGAGGCAGCAGUGAGGAAUAUUGGUCAAUGGACGAGAGUCUGAACCAGCCAAGUAGCGUGAAGGAUGACUGCCCUAUGGGUUGUAAACUUCUUUUAUAUGGGAAUAAAAUGUUCCACGUGUGGGUUUUUGUAUGUACCAUAUGAAUAAGGAUCGGCUAACUCCGUGCCAGCAGCCGCGGUAAUACGGAGGAUCCGAGCGUUAUCCGGAUUUAUUGGGUUUAAAGGGAGCGUAGGUGGAGUGUUAAGUCAGUUGUGAAAGUUUGCGGCUCAACCGUAAAAUUGCAGUUGAUACUGGCAGUCUUGAGUACAGGAGAGGUGGGCGGAAUUCGUGGUGUAGCGGUGAAAUGAUUAGAUAUCAGGAAGAACUCCGAUUGCGAAGGCAGCUCACUGGACUGCAACUGACACUGAGGCUCGAAAGUGUGGGUAUCAAACAGGAUUAGAUACCCGAGUAGUC